rnacentral:rRNA from 1 species
AACGAACGCUGGCGGCAGGCCUAACACAUGCAAGUCGAGCGCGCCCUUCGGGGUGAGCGGCGGACGGGUGAGUAACGCGUGGGAACGUGCCCUUUUCUACGGAAUAGCCUCGGGAAACUGAGAGUAAUACCGGAUAUGCCCUCUGGGGGAAAGAGUUGUCGGAAAAGGAUCGGCCGGCGUUGGCUUAGGUGGUUGGUGGGGUAAGGGCCUACCAGGCCGACGAUCGAUAGCUGGUUAGAGAGGAUGAUCCGCCACACUGGGACUGAGACACGGCCCAGACUCCUACGGGAGGCAGCAGUGGGGAAUCUUGGACAAUGGGGGCAACCCUGAUCGAGCCAUGCCGGGUGAGUGAUGAAGGCCUUAGGGUUGUAAAGCUCUUUCAGCUGGGAAGAUAAUGACGGUACCAGCAGAAGAAGCCCCGGCUAACUCCGUG